rnacentral:rRNA from 2 species
UUCCUCUUGUAAAUAUUGGAGGUAGUCCCUGCCCAGUGCCAGGUAAGUGGUCAACGGCGGCCUUAGUCUGAGGGUCCAAAGGUAGCAUAAUAAUUUGGCUCUUAAUUGGAGUCUUGUAUGAAUGGGUUAACGUAAUAACGACUGUGUCACAAGCAUACUAUUGAAGUUAACUUAAAGGUGCAAAGGCCUUUAUUAAUAAGAAGGACGACAAGACCCUAGAAUCUUUAUGAUUGUCCGUGUUUACGAUAAUAAUGAAGUUUUCAGCUUACCCGUAAACAGGGUUAAAAUUUUGUUGGGGCAACAGGGGGAAUAUGUCUCGCCCAUAAAUCCUGGUUUAACUGAUUUGGAGUGUAUUUUUACCAACUGGUUUAGGCCGUUAUAAUGCGAGAAUGAUUAAGUUACUCUAGGGAUAACAGCGCAAUACCUUUUGAGAGCUCUUAUUGAAAAAGGUGCUUGCGACCUCGAUGUUGGCUUAGGGUAUCCUGUAGGUGUAGAAGCUUGCACGGGUUGGUCUGUUCGCCCAUUAAAACCCU